rnacentral:rRNA from 1 species
CCUACGGGAGGCAGCAGUGAGGAAUAUUGGUCAAUGGACGCAAGCCUGAACCAGCCAUGCCGCGUGAGGGAGGACGGCCCUAUGAGUUGUAAACCGCUUUUGUCCGAGGGCAAAUCCCGGUACGUGUAUCGGGUUGAAAGUACCGUACGAAUAAGGAUCGGCUAACUCCGUGCCAGCAGCCGCGGUAAUACGGAGGAUUCAAGCGUUAUCCGGAUUUAUUGGGUUUAAAGGGUGCGUAGGCGGUUCGUUAAUUUAGCGGGGAAAUCCCGGGGCUCAACGCCGGCACUGCCGCUGAUACUGGCGGGCUAGAGUUUGGUAGCGGUAGGCGGAAUGUAUGGUGUAGCGGUGAAAUGCAUAGAGAUCACACAGAACACCGAUUGCGAAGGCAGCAUACCGACCCACGACUGACGUUGAGGCACGAAAGCGUGGGUAUCAAACAGGAUUAGAUACCCGAGUAGUC